rnacentral:rRNA from 1 species
UUUAUGGAGAGUUUGAUCCUGGCUCAGGAUGAACGCUGGCGGCGUGCCUAAUACAUGCAAGUCGAGCGAACGGACGAGAAGCUUGCUUCUCUGAUGUUAGCGGCGGACGGGUGAGUAACACGUGGAUAACCUACCUAUAAGACUGGGAUAACUUCGGGAAACCGGAGCUAAUACCGGAUAAUAUUUUGAACCGCAUGGUUCAAAAGUGAAAGACGGUCUUGCUGUCACUUAUAGAUGGAUCCGCGCUGCAUUAGCUAGUUGGUAAGGUAACGGCUUACCAAGGCAACGAUGCAUAGCCGACCUGAGAGGGUGAUCGGCCACACUGGAACUGAGACACGGUCCAGACUCCUACGGGAGGCAGCAGUAGGGAAUCUUCCGCAAUG